rnacentral:rRNA from 1 species
UGGGGAAUAUUGCACAAUGGGGGAAACCCUGAUGCAGCAACGCCGCGUGAAGGAAGAAGGUUUUCGGAUCGUAAACUUCUAUCAACAGGGACGAAGAAAGUGACGGUACCUGAAUAAGAAGCCCCGGCUAACUACGUGCCAGCAGCCGCGGUAAUACGUAGGGGGCAAGCGUUAUCCGGAAUUACUGGGUGUAAAGGGAGCGUAGGCGGCACGCCAAGCCAGAUGUGAAAGCCCGAGGCUUAACCUCGCGGAUUGCAUUUGGAACUGGCGAGCUAGAGUACAGGAGAGGAAAGCGGAAUUCCUAGUGUAGCGGUGAAAUGCGUAGAUAUUAGGAAGAACACCAGUGGCGAAGGCGGCUUUCUGGACUGAAACUGACGCUGAGGCUCGAAAGCGUGGGGAGCAAACAGGAUUAGAUACCCUGGUAGUCCACGCCGUAAACGAUGAGUGCUAGGUGUCGGGGAGGAAUCCUCGGUGCCGCAGCUAACGCAAUAAGCACUCCACCUGGGGAGUACGACCGCAAGGUUGAAACUCAAAGGAAUUGACGGGGGCCCGCACAAGCGGUGGAGCAUGUGGUUUAAUUCGAAGCAACGCGAAGAACCUUACCAAGGCUUGACAUCCCGAUGACCGCUCUAGAGAUAGAGUUUCUCUUCGGAGCAUCGGUGACAGGUGGUGCAUGGUUGUCGUCAGCUCGUGUCGUGAGAUGUUGGGUUAAGUCCCGCAACGAGCGCAACCCUUAUCCUUAGUAGCCAUCAUUGAGUUGGGCACUCUAGGGAGACUGCCGUGGAUAACACGGAGGAAGGUGGGGAUGACGUCAAAUCAUCAUGCCCCUUAUGUCUUGGGCUACACACGUGCUACAAUGGCUGGUAACAGAGUGAAGCGAGACGGCGACGUUAAGCAAAUCACAAAAACCCAGUCCCAGUUCGGAUUGUAGUCUGCAACUCGACUACAUGAAGCUGGAAUCGCUAGUAAUCGCGAAUCAGAAUGUCGCGGUGAAUACGUUCCC